ACGGCUCAGUAACACGUGGAUAACCUACCCUCAGAUCUGGGAUAACUCCGGGAAACUGGAGAUAAUACCGGAUAAUCCGUGAACGCUGGAAUGCCUCACGGUUGAAAGCUUUAGCGUCUGAGGAUGGGGCUGCGGCCGAUCAGGCCGUUGGCGAGGUAACGGCUCACCAAACCUUUGACCGGUACGGGCCAUGAGAGUGGUAGCCCGGAGAUGGACACUGAGAUAGGGGUCCAGGCCCUACGGGGCGCAGCAGGCGCGAAAACUCCACACUGUACGUAAGUACGAUGGGGUUACCUCGAGUGUAGUCUGUAAAAGAUUGCUUUUCCAUAGAGUAAUAUCCUGUGGGAAUAAGAGGGGGGCAAGACUGGUGUCAGCCGCCGCGGUAACACCAGCCCCUCGAGUGGUAGGGACUUUUAUUUGGCCUAAAGCGUUCGUAGCCGUCUGUAACCGCUGCCCGUUAAAUCCAGCGUCUCAAGCGUUGGACUGCGGGCGAUACCUUACAGAUUGAGGGUGGGAUAGGGUAAGCGGUAUUUCUGGGGGUAGGGGCGAAAUCCUUUGAUCCCAGGAGGACCACCAGUGGCGAAGGCUGCUUACUAGAACACGCCUGACGGUCAGGAACGAAAGCUGGGGUAGCGAACCGGAUUAGAUACCCGGGUAGUCCCAGCUGUAAACGAUGCGCGCUAGGUGUUGGGUCGGCCAUGCGCCGCCCCAGUGCCGCAGGGAAGCCGUUAAGCGCGCCGCCUGGGGAGUACGGCCACAAGGCUGAAACUUAAAGGAAUUGGCGGGGGAGCAC
rnacentral:rRNA from 1 species